AGUGAACGCUGGCGGCAGGCCUAACACAUGCAAGUCGAACGGCAGCACAGGAGAGCUUGCUCUCUGGGUGGCGAGUGGCGGACGGGUGAGGAAUACAUCGGAAUCUACUCUGUCGUGGGGGAUAACGUAGGGAAACUUACGCUAAUAUCGCAUACGACCUACGGGUGAAAGCAGGGGGCCUUCCGGCCUCGCGCGCUUGACUGAGCCGAUGUCGGAUUAGCUAGUUGGCGGGGUAAAGGCCCACCAAGGCGACGAUCCGUAGCUGGUCUGAGAGGAUGAUCAGCCACACUGGAACUGAGACACGGUCCAGACUCCUACGGGAGGCAGCAGUGGGGAAUAUUGGACAAUGGGCACAAGCCUGAUCCAGCCAUACCGCGUGGGUGAAGAAGGCCUUCGGGUUGUAAAGCCCUUUUGUUGGGAAAGAAAUCCAGCUGGCUAAUACCCGGUUGGGAUGACGGUACCCAAAGAAUAAGCACCGGCUAACUUCGUGCCAGCCGCCGCCGUAA
rnacentral:rRNA from 1 species